rnacentral:lncRNA from 1 species
GAGGAGGCAGGUUAAAGAAGGAUUUGUAAGCCUUGCAAACAAUUGAGAAAUGGAUUGUGUAUGUGUAACAUUCAGAGGUUUAACGGGCAAGACAAAAUAUGUGCCUUUCAAUGGUAGUAGGUGUCCUUAAUGUUUUGUAUACUCAGUAUACGUUCAACAGCAUACAUACAACAGCAUAUACCAACAACUCCCCUCUGUGUAACAACAUAUUAAGUUGAAGAUUGCAGAAUGUAUGCUACAUUAUUUAUAAAAAAUACCUGCCAUUUUUCUUCAAACAGAUAUGCCUGACAACCAGUCCCCCACCAACUCCACAAAAGCCACUAGUGGUAGUGCCCUGGAAGGACAAGAGGGACAGGAUGGAGACGUGGGUGACGUUAGCACUGGGGAAGGAGUGGACAAAAGGGCUGCAGAUGUGGAAGUGGGAGAAGACGAUGGAGAUAGAACUGAGGGAGAUGAAGAGGACAUGGAACCUGACUACCGGCCACCUGCCAAGAAGACAAAGUAGAGUGAGCUCCACUACACCACAGAGGUAUUAUCAGAAGAGGGUGCUGAUAUCAGAUCUACCUGAAGAGACUCAGAGACAGCAGAGGGAGGCCUGGAGAGAAGCAUCCAGACGCCGUCGUGCCCGCGAAUUGUCCUCCCUUCAGACGAACCCCACACAGCCCUGCCACCUCCCCCAGAACACAGAGACACCUGGGGGGACUAGGGGACGCCACAGGGGCAGGCAGUAGGGUGGAAAGUUUGGAUAGCUACUGGACAGUCUUCUUUUGACAUUCUAUACAGACCACUUGCUUAAAAUGAGAUCUUGAGCAUGGCCUUUAACAAUUUCAGGACUGAAUAGAUACCUGGUUCAUCUCUGUAAUUGAUGUCAUUGAGCCUAUCAACAGGAGGCACUGUUUGUGCAUGUUCAGGAGUUUCCUGACAGGUUGAACUUACAGGUGUACCUUGUCAUCCAUACUUGCAGCGUUAUUCUAUCAGGUGUUCAAUUUAGCAUAAAAUAUUGUACAGUUUGUAAUAGCAAUAAAGUGAGACAAAUGUUUUCCCUUUUUCAUUUAAACAUACUGUCCAUCUUUUGCAAAUGAAUAACAUUUAACAAACUGAAGUAUUUUUUUGUAUUUCAAAUGGUUCUGAUUUGAAACAAUUGAAUAGUUGUUAUAGAAUUAUGACCAACAUAAAUCCCUUGAUUUUGGAAGAAUAUGACUUAUUUAUAUCUUUAUUACCUUAUGAUCGAACAAGUUUGAAUACCCUCAUUAAGAGCCUAGGUGGCAGCCUCCCUGGAUCCUUUGCUAUUUGCAGACUGCCCUAAAACUGCUGUUGAAGAUGCUCUUCUCUAUCUCCCCCACAGAGCACAAUAUUCUUUGACUUCUCCAGUGCAUUCAAUACCAUACAACCCCACCUACUGGCCCAAAAGCUAACGGACAUUCAUCUCAACCCACACAUAAACAAAUGGAUUGUGAUCUGACCAAUAGACCACGGUUCGUAAGACUGAACCAGGCAGUAUCAGAUCGGAUAUGUACAAACAUGGGGGCCCCCAGGCUUCUUAAUGAGUGUAAUAACGACUGAUUUAUGGUUAAUGUUGUUUCUGCUUGUUUCCCCAGAGUAGGAUAGACAACUGCAUUUCUUAACUCCUUUGAAUUGAACUCUAUGUUUUAUGGCGUCUAAGGUGCAGGUGCCUUCAUACUGUAUGUGUCUUUGUUUUCAUUAUGUGUUUGUUCCAUGUCUUCUCUUGUCCUUGUAAUUUAUUGAUGAUGCUUAGUGCUAAAACCAUUUCCCAAGUCGGGAUCAAUAAAGUACUACUCUACUCUCUACUCGUCACAGAAAAAAUAAGCACAAAUUACUUAAUUAUGAAUCCUUUAUCUUGACUAAAUGCAGCUUGAUAUAACAUUGAGAAGAUGAACUAUCUUGACAAACCUUGUGUGGAGUGAUUCUAACUGUAGAUAGGAAAUGUGCAUGCAGAGUAACUCAAGAGGUUGCACCAGUGUAGUCAAACAGGCAAUACAGUAACCCCUUUUGGACCACAAGCAGAAAUAAGGCAGGUUGUGAGAUAUGAGAUGUUGAUUAUGAUAGGUUGUAUUAGAUUGUAUUCUACAGACUUGGUGGCGGUUCUAGCUUGUAUGCCCCCCCCCAAAAAGCACCAUUCUGCACUAACUGUCAUUUUUAUUCACCCCAAAAUACUCAAUAUAUCACAAAAUAUAAAAAAUAUCAGCAUAAUUUAGACGUCUUCUAAGUUAGCCUACAGCAUUGGAAAUUC